rnacentral:rRNA from 1 species
GGGUCAGUAGGUUGGUCGUGCCACCGGUACGUACUGGUCUCACUGAUUCCUCCUUCCUGAAGAACCGUAAUGCCAUUAAUUUGGUGUUGCGGGGAAACAGGACCGUUACUUUGAAAAAAUUAGAGUGUUUAAAGCAAGCUAACGCUUGAAUACAUUAGCAUGGAAUAAUGAAAUAGGGCGAUCGAUCCUAUUUUGUUGGUUUCUAGGAUUGACGUA